GACAGACAAGCACCACCCCUGCCUGUUGUGAGGAUGAGAGAUUGGCAGCUCAGGGACUACCACUGCUCAUUAGGAUCCCAGGGAGGAAUUUCAUUCCCUACCUUGGAAGAGUAUAAAAGACCCUUUGUCUGGGUUAAAUAGAAGACUGACGGUGUGAUGGAGUGUGCACUGCAGUUCGGCUCACCAGCCCAGAUCACCAAGGCUCUCCAAGAGUGAAACCCCAGGGAUCAUCCUGUGGCUGGAGAUGAUUCUUGGAGUGGGGAAAAUUUCCUCCCAGGGAUUUGCAUCAUAUUCUCCAG